CUGCAGAUGCUCUCUAUACAUAGGUACACAUGUCAGUUUCCUAUUGGAAUCACACCACUUGAUACUCUGUCGCCAGUUCUCGUUAACACUGAUAUCUCCUUGUGUCUACCUGUAUUUAUGUCAUUGGAUAUGUCUCUUAAAUAUAUUAUGUGUCCUUCCUUAAUUCCAGCAAGGAUAUCAUUAGUUUGCACUUAUUCUCGAAUCUGUGCUGCACUCAUUCUCUCAUAAUGUUAUAUAUAUAGUUUUCGUUUUUGUUGGUCAUAGGGCUGCCUUUUUGCUUCAGCCUGUUUUUGUUAGAUUGCAAGUUUCACUUUCACGUCUUAAUACUGACAGAAUAGGUUUACUCUGUUUUUUACUGUGGCCACAACUGUAUAAGACACUUCAGGCAAAGCUAGCUUGUCCUAACCUGCCACGAUCGCCUAGUGGCUGUGCUGUUCGGCUGCUAAGCACGAGGUUGUGGGAUCGAAUCCCGGCCACGGUGGCCGCAUUUCGAAGGGGGCAAAAUACGAAAACACCUGUGUACUUAGAUGUAGGUGCACACUACAGAACCCUAGGUGGUACAAAUUUCCGGACCAUUCAGCCAACUUGAAUCAUGAAUAAGUGACAUCGGGUUAUGUGCUGCCCUUGAGUGAAUCUCGUUCACCCUACCUUGGGUUACUAGGCAUGUGCCACUGGGCAUGUGCAGCUCUUCAAUGAACCUGUUUCACCCCAACCUGGGUCGCCAGAUAUGUGCCCUUGGGUAUGUGCCUCUCAGUAGGCCUCUUUGAUGCCAGCUUGUCACUGGGUGUGUGUUGCUCUUCAACAACAACAACGAAAAAAAAUCCCUUAAGGUUUAUUCGGUGCUGGGCAGAAUUGAAUCCACUUCAUAUAUAUUCAGACAUGCGCUAUGCAUUUCCUUCAUAGUGGGACCGCUAGAUGGCACAGUGUGUCCAGAGGGAAGAGAGAGAGAGGAGCCUGGCUGCAAUGCACGCCUCAUACAUGAUGUGUUUUGGCAGUAUGAAUACAGUGUACUGCCAUCAGUAGCUUAGCCAGAAAUAUAUUUUGGGUAAAAGAGGUUCUCCACCGACAACUACCAUUCCUUGCCCUCCUUCACCUCUCUCUCUCUCUGUCUCUCUCUCUCCCUCUCUCUCUCUCUCUAUAUAUAUAUAUAUUACACACACUGUAGGACCCACUUAUUAUGAUACAUGUACUGGUUAUAACAAUAUAUCAGUUAUAACAAUGAAAAGGUGCUCAACUUUUGUAUCUUUUCUGUGGAAAUAUAACCCGCUUUCUACAAUGUCUUCACACUGCAUUAUCGGUUAUAACGAUGAAGUCUGGCUCCUGGGUGUCCAUACCAAAAGGUAAUAGAAUGGGAAAUCCUUGAAAAGAAAAAGUGAAAUGAGCUGCUGCACGAUCGCCCGCCACCACAACUGCCGCUGCGCGCUUCCACCCCUCCGAACACGAAUGGACUGGCCCAUAGUUCUGCGCCGUGCCACCCUCCAAAACACGAAUGGACUGUGCCAACUGCGCCAGGCCCCGGACACUCUCAAGUUCAACAAAUGGCCACAGAGGGCUAAAAUAUUUACCGCGCGGUGCUGCUAAAAAACAGGCAUAAUACAAUUAAAAAGGUUCCCCCGUGAGCGCAAUGUCAUCCGCUAGAGGUGCCGUAGUAAGAGCAGUUUUAACCUACAAGCUUUCUCCCACCUUAAUUGAAGCAAUCUUAUUACAUGACAAAGAGUACAAAAAUAUUCAUAAUAAUACACUGUACUCUUGAGCACUUACUCUGCUUUUCUUUAGCCAUUAUAAGCGCAAAAUAACGUUCAGCAUCAUUGACUACCCACAGAACCUCUGGCCUGGAUUUAAAUUUUUACCGGUAUGUUCGCAUGCACGGUGGGCACAUAUCCAUUGGUAGGUGCACUUAAGCUGGUUGCUCGUUAUGUGCCGAAACCAGUUUAUUGCACUUCGAUAACAUGCAUUGUUUAACUUGAGGUGCAGUGAGGUGUUUGCGAGGGGAGAUGUAAGCCUGAAAGCUAGGUUUCACUCGUGAGCCAUGCGGAACGCAUCUGCAUCGAAACAGGAGCCGGAUUCUGCUGCGACUGACGAUGGAAAUAAUGACAUGUAGUAAGGAGGACAGCACCAGUGUAAAGCAACACACUUCACACACUAAAGAUAAGCUACUGCCUGCUACAGCAAGACCAUUGUGUGGACUUUUGCUGCUCCUACAAGAGUCUGCACCAAGCACAUCUUGGUCCUUGUCACAGGAGCCCCCAUCUACACCAACAGGAAGGAGCUGGAGCCGAAUCUGCAGUGCUUUUACACAAUGAACAAAGACGAUCCAGAAGUAUUAAGAUGAGAUAUCAAGUCUACAGAGGACUGUGUCAAAAGUUAAAAGAGCCUCGGCCAUCAUUCCAUCAGCACGGAUAUUGGCCGAGUCAUCCAGGUACCUCAACAACAAAAAAAAAUCUGUGUGUUCAGAUGCACCUGCAACCCCUAAACAAGACGAGCGAUUCUGGCCAAAAAAAAUUCUGCCAGCUUGCCCUUUCUUAAUCAGCUUCUGCCCUUUCUUGAUCAGUUUCCUGGCCUUGUCAAAUUCCAUUUGUGCCACGUAUUAUAAUUUUUUUCAAUGAAUGCAAGCAUUUUCAUUGUCUAUUCUUGUAAGAUCUCAUUCCUCUUCCUCAUCAAAACAUAAGGGUGAACUGAUUCUUUGCUCAUACUUAAUACCAGUCACUGUCUAGUAUCAUAACAUAUCUGUAGCAGUGCAGUCGGAAUCCGUGAUAACGAAAUACCGCAACAAUGAAAUUCUCGCGACAACGAAACAUUUUCGUAUCCCUGGUGAGCGCCCAUAGGAUUCAAUGCAUUUCAUACCUCUCCGCAACGAAAUGUCGCUGUACUGCAAUCCCUCAUCAACGAAAUUAGCCGGAACGUAACUCCGCAUAUUGCGUAAGGCUAGCAGGCUUCAAAAUGUACUCAAAUGCGAUCGUUUUGCACUAAAAUUGCGUAAAGUACUACCACGUUACACUUGCGCGGGCGCCGCCAUUUUUGUUCACAAAAACAACCAAGCACCGCAAGCGAUCAGUGUGCUGGAAACGCAUCAUGGCCGCCAUCUUCUUUGUUGAUCGCCCGUUUGAAGUGGCACCAUGAGCGGCACACACGUUGCUACCGACAUGUUACGACGGUGUUUGCACGCCUACUAGGCGAAAUCGUAGAUCGUUGUUCGAAAUGCACAUUUAGUUUGCGUUCCCCGCUGCUGAUGACUCGGCGAGGCCUAGCCCAAUCGUGUGAGGCAAAACUGAACGCAAACUGGACACGCGUUUUGAACAACAAUCCCGGAUUGCGGCAGUGCACUGCGUAACGGGCGCCUCAGUGAGAAAAAUGCAGCAAAAACAAAGAAAUUCGCGUCCCACCUACAUGGAAUUGUUUAUGGCGCUUGAGAUGGUGGUCGCGGCAUGUAGAGUGUCACGCAUCAGGCCAUGAUUGAGCCAUCGUCCAGGAAUACGCAUCCCUUGCUUCAAGAACGCUGGUUCUGGUGCCACACCACAGGCAUCUUGUGCAGAUUCGGCGCCGGACUUAGAUUUGCGCGAAAGGUCUGUUAUCUCAAUCGUUUGCCUUUGCGUACACGAGAUUUGAUCACUCUUGUGCUCGGCACCGGACGUGUUGGCGCCUGCGGGCAACAGCGUGCGCUGGAGAAAUGCUGCUGCAUGCGCUGUUGCUCUGCGUCCGGUGCCGAGUUAUGCAAAAUCUCACAAAAGGGAUCGCAUCUCCGAAAGCAGUUGACUGAGAAUACUGUGCCAUGGCAGUUCUACCACUGCUGGUCGACGCACGCGGCACACUUUGUACUGUUGGCAAUGCAGUUAUAUAUCCUCAUACAAAGCUUGCCAAGGUAGGCUAACAGAACCAUGACAGUAAAGUUUUGUUCUGCGAUGCAUUGCCUAUCUGCGCUGUCUCUUUUCGCAACAGCGAAAUUCUCGCUAACGUGAAUUUUUUCACAUUCCCCGCUGAUUUUGUUAUUGCGAGGUUCAACUGUAUUUUCUAGUGUACGUUGCCAUGUGCAAUUCCUGUCCUGAAAUAGCUGAUGCGGCAUCAGCGUGUGUCUUGCAUUAACCUUUGCACCGUGUGCUAUGUAGCACUUGACUUUUCUUAAUGUUUUUGGACUUCAUUGCUUGCAGGGUAGAGUGGCCUCUUUCUUGAAUGCAAGCUUUCUCAUUCCUAUAUUUAAUUCCUAGCCUCAUUCAGGAUUGUUCUUCUUGCUCGAUAGCCUGGGUUAUUGCAGAAGCUACAUUGAAGUGAUUGAUUGCAGAAUCUGGUUUAAUUGCCGUCCCACUUAGUCCUGGUCGCCGUGUUACGUUUCUCGUGUAUGGGAGCCUGGUCAGUUACAUUGGGAAACAGUCUCUCGAGGUAAGCACCUGGUCCUGCAGGCAGCACAGCGACAUACACUCCGAAUUUACAUAUACCGUGAUCUGUACUCCCCGUUCCAUGCUUUCCUGCUGCAACUGUGUGCAAAUUUUGCUUGCAGCCUUCCUCGGCCAUGAGUUGGCGUGAACGGAGACUAGCACACGUGGUUGCAUGGGCCAAAGUGUAUGAAGCUGAUAGCCACGUGGGUUGAAGGGCCUGCAAAAGUGGCUCCAAAAUGGUGAUGGCCACAAAACCGACCAUGCCCAUAUUGAGGGAAUGUGGGGGGCCAAGUGCGAGUUACAUAUUACGGCACGCAGUAUAAGAAGAAGAAACGUGCAGGUUGGAAAGAAGGUAACGCUAAAAUGGUGGGUAGUCCAUGUCGCUGUGUUGGCUGCAGCAGCAGAUGCUUGCAUCACUUGAUUGCUUCGCAAUGCAAGUUGCUCAUCUUCAACGCCAACUGUCGGUGAAAAGAGAUUGGACACUACCCAAUCUGCUUGUGCUGCUGGUUGUCGCUUGUUACUAGACCAUUAUAUGCGAUGAAGGUAAGCACUAUGCCUGCAGUCAGACAGCUGAAUGUGCCGUACGCGAUCCCUGUGCGUGUAUGUUCUCAUGUGUCAUGUGGAUCUUAGCCAAUGUAUUGUGCAUAGUCUGAACAUUAUGUUAGAGGUAUGCUGCUGAAGUGAUUUGAUUGCAGAGUCUCAUUUCAAUGCUGUCCCACCUGGCCAUGGUUGCCGUGUUACAUUUUUCGGAUGUGACAGUCUGGUCAGUUGCAUUGGGAAACAGUCUCCCGAGGCAAGCACUUGCUCCUGCAGUCCGCACAGUAACAUAGACUCCCUGUUUACACACAUCAUGAUUGGCGCUCCGUGUUUGUCCUUUCCUGCUGCAGCCAUGGACAAAGUUUGCUUGUGGUCUUCUUUGGCUGCGAUUUGGCGUGAACGGAGACUAGCAUACGUGUUUGCAUUGUCUGAAGUGUGUGAAGUUGAUAGCCACAUAGGUGGAAAGGUCUGUAAAAGCAGCUGCAAAGUGCUGAUUCCCACAAAAUCGACCAUGUCCACAUUGAGAGCAGGUGGGGUAGCAAGUGUGAGCGACACAUUAGCAGCCACCAAAAGAACAAAAAGAAACUUGCAGGUUGGAAAGGAGGUAACACUAAAAGGCCAGGUAGCUCAUGUCAAUGUGUUGGCUGUGGCAGCAGCUGCCUUAGUCGCCCAAUUGCUUCACAAUGCUAGUUGGUCAUCUUCAACAGCUACUGUCGGUGUAAACAGGUGGGAUCUGCUUGUCCAAUCUGCUUGCGCUGCUGGUUGUCGCUCAUUACCAGACCACCAUGUGCGACAAAGGCAAGCCUUGUGCCCCGAAGUUGGAUGGCUGAAUGUGCCUUAAACGACCCAUGGUGCGUGAAUGCUCACUGCUGUCCUGUGGAUCUUAGCCACUGUAUAGUGUAUUGUCUGAACCUUAUUCAGUGAUUGAAUGCUGAGUCUCGCUUUAUCAUGGUCGCUAUGUUAU